UUGUUUUUGUGAUAUCAUCAUUCAGGUGCUCCUCAUCUGGUUCUCGUGCUAGUGGACUCUGUGCCCCUCUAAAAGAUGUGCAGAACACAUGUACUAGUAGGUCAAAUGUUGGUGUGGAUUUAAACAAAUUUGCAUAUGCACCAACUAAUCGGAAGGCUUCCUCAGCACAAUGCAGACGCUAAGCUUGGAUAGAUAUUUAAACAGAAAUUUGUUCUGGCACAACUCAUGGUUUUUCAAUUUAGUAAAGCCACACUCUUAAAUGUUGUCAUUCUUUGGUGUCUAGCUUACUACAAUCAAAGACUCAUUUUGGAUUUGUCGAGGCCUUAGAUUAUGCUGCCACCUGUGUGAUUCAUUACCUUCGCAUCAUAAGCUUGUAGGUUGAGAUAUGGCAAUGCCUUGUUUUUGUAUAUUCAAUUAUCUAGAGCUUAUGGAUAAUAACAAUAUAGUACUCUCUCUGUAACUGUUACCAUGUAUGCAUUGUAGCCUCUUGCUUCACUGGGCUCAAAAGAUUGCAGUUCUCUUUAAAAGUAUUUUGUUUGCUGUC